UCUCAGUUCGGAUUGGAGUCUGCAACCCGACUCCAUGAAGCUGGAUUCGCUAGUAAUCGCGCAUCAGCCACGGCGCGGUGAAUACGUUCCCGGGCCUUGUACACACCGCCCGUCAAGCCAUGGAAGCCGGGAGUGCCUGAAGUGCGUGACCGCAAGGAGCGUCCUAAGGCAAUACCGGUGACUGGGGCUAAGUCGUAACAAGGUAGC
rnacentral:rRNA from 1 species